rnacentral:rRNA from 1 species
GAUGAACGCUGGCGGCGUGCCUAAUACAUGCCAGUCGAGCGAACAGAUGCGGAGCUUGCUCCUCUGACGUUAGCGGCGGACGGGUGAGUAACACGUGGAUCCCCCACCUAUAUUACUGGGAUAACUUCGGGAAACCGGAGCUAAUCCCGUAUAAUAUCUUGAACCGCAUGGUUCAUUGGUAAAAGACGGUUUUGCUGUCACUACUAGAUGCUUCCCCGCCGGUUUGGCUAGUUGUUAAGGUAACGGCUUUUCAAGGCGACGAUGCGUAGCCGACCGGCCAGGGUGGUCGGCCGCAUGGGAGCUGAGACGCGGUCCAGGCGCCUACGAGACGCAGCAGAAGGGAAUGUUCCGCAAUGGGCGAGAGCCUGACAGAGCAACGGCGCGUGAGUGAUGAAGGUCUUCGGUGCGGAAAACUCUGUUAUUAGGUAAGAACAGAUGUGUAAGUAACUAUGCACGUCUUGACGGUACCUAGUCAGAAAGCAACGGCUAACUACGUG